rnacentral:lncRNA from 1 species
GGCGAUUACUGUAAUUUACAGGAGAGUAAAUUGGUAUAUAACUACUCUCGAGUGAGACUAAAUCCAGUCUUCGCAACUCCUUGGAAGCUACUUACAAUAUUGACACGAUGAAACUCACAGUCCUACUCUGUUGCCUGGCUGCCGUUCUCUACACGGUCUAGGCAUUCCCUACCGAACCUACUGAAGCUCCAACACCUCCACCAGUCAAUAAAAACAAAGGUUUCCGAUCCAUCAGUGACGCCUUGGACUCAACUUUAGGCUGGGGAGGUUACGAUAAUCCUAGGCAGAGUAGAGUCCGUGGAGCUCUUCACGCUGCUUACCAUGAAAUCCAGUACCGUAGAACAGGGAAUCAGAGGGAACACGAGAGGGCGAAGGAUCAGUGGGGUGUCGUUAGUGGAGGACGACGAGAUAAUCUUGAGCGAUACGAUAGGGAGCAUUAUGGUACAGGGAAACAGCAGCCAGAUGUAGAUUAACCAUAAGAAUAAUAUGUAUUGCUUUAAACUAAUAUAAAUUAACUUAUUUAAAACAAUAACUAACUACAAAAAAGUAACUGAUAUUAAUAUACAACAGAUUAUGUUAAUAAAAUGUACAUUUUAUGGAAUAAUAAGUGUUUAAUUGUUAUAAGCUAAGCCCUGAACUUUUUUAUGUUUUUUUUUUAAUUACUUACAUUUGACGUCCUUUGUUACAAUCACAUUUAUUCCGAUAAAUUAAGUGGUCUUGACAAUGUAUCUUUAGAAAGUAAUAAAGAAAAUCUGUACUAAGAAAAGGUUUGGUAACAUAUGCUCUUAAGAAAGUCUAAAACUUUUUAAAUUAUUAUACUUUCCGAUCUUUAUUAGGUAAAUUCAUACAAUAUUGUAUAAAUGGUCAGUUUUAAAAAUAUCAAAAUUAAGAAUACUAAGAAGUGUUAGAUUGAACAUGUUUAAGUUAUCAAAAGCACACACAAACACAUUUUAAUAGUACGUUGCCUAUUAUUAAUAAUGAGUUGUUGAACAUUGAAAUUUUAAAGGUAUAUUUACGCAAAAGGUUCAUAGUUUAAGAAUUUUAGACAUUUCUGGUGUAUUUACAAAUAAUUAAAUUGAAGAUUAAGUUAAGAUGUAGAUGAGCAAUGAAGGACUCUAAACUCUGGUAUAAAUUGUUAGCCAACCAGAUACCGACUUGACUUAACUGAAACUAUAGUAGACCUCACCCCUGGAAGAACUAUUAAUAAGAUAAACUGUUCAGAAAGAACCAUAUUUACUUUUAUAUUCCCAUUAGAUAAAAAUACUAAAGUGUUUCCAAUUCACACUAUUUUAUGUACUAUUAACUUCUAUCAGAGUGUAUAAAUCACAAGAUCAUCCCACAUCUUCUGUUCUUGGGAGUUAAAAUGUUUUGGGUCGGGUGCUUGGCUCAUUUUGCUCCAUAGCCGCUUUGAAAAUCUUAGCAUUUACUCUAUGUAAAAUGUAUAUAAGUUUUGUUAAAUUAAUUUUAAUAGUCUACGCACUUCCUAUAAAAUUAUUAAAAUGACAGUCUUUCAAGAAUUUGGAAAUAAGAUAUUUAUGGCAAAAAUUAUGAUUUGAAAAGGACAAUAGAUAUUGCUUCUAAAAUUACAUUUAGAUGAUGGUCAUUAAAAUAUCGUAAUAUCAAUACAUCUGGUUCAAAAUUACUCAAAAAACUAUUGACGCAUUUUCUAUUUGACAGUUCUUAGGCUUUAUUGCUGUUUAAUGCCAUAUAUACUAUUUCUAUAUAAAGAAACACUUUAUGUAUUAUGUUAUUUAUGUAUUAUGUAUUACAGAAAGUAACAGUUUAAUUACUUACAUAGAAUUAAUCAGAUCAGUCAGAUUUGUUGCAAAGCAGUUUACAAUAAGUUUUAACCAUUGUAUAGACGUAAUGUAAACUUAAUUCAUAAUAUUUGUAGGUUCUGAUAUGCAAAUGUACUCAGCGAGCUAUAAAAAGCAUGUUUGUUUUAGGUGAUUUGGUUACAGUCCAGUAAAGCUCCCACAGAAUAUAAAUCCGAUCUGUGUGGAACGAUUUAGUGACUAAACACGAUUUAGGACAUUUUAAACUUCUUUUAAUUCUAAACAAAAUGUUUUAAUUUUUGAGUACACGAUUAAAUUUAGGUUUAUUACAUGAUUUAAUGUAAUAGCAACUAAUAGAUAGAAUAAAUAAUGUUAUUACCCUA